rnacentral:rRNA from 1 species
AUUGAACGCUGGCGGCAGGCCUAACACAUGCAAGUCGAACGAGUGGCGGACGGGUGAGUAAUGUCUGGGAAACUGCCUGAUGGAGGGGGAUAACCACUGGAAACGGUAGCUAAUACCGCAUACCAUCAGAUGUUCCCAGAUGGGAUUAGCUGGUGGGUGGGGUAACGGCUCACCAAGUCGACGAUCCCUAGCUGGUCUGAGAGGAUGACCAGCCAAACUGGAACGGAGACACGGUCCAGACUACUACGGGAGGCAGCAGUGGGGAAUAUUGCACAAUGGGCGCAAGCCUGAUGCAGACAUGCGGCGUGUAUGAAGAAGGCCUUCGGGUUGUAAAGUACUUUCAGCGAGGAGGCGUUACUCGCAGAAGAAGCACCGGCUAACUCCGUGCCAGCAGCCGCGGUAAUAC